rnacentral:rRNA from 1 species
UACGUAGGGUGCAAGCGUUUAAUCGGAAUUACUGGGCGUAAAGCGUGCGCAGGCGGCUAUGCAAGACAGAUGUGAAAUCCCCGGGCUCAACCUGGGAACUGCAUUUGUGACUGCAUGGCUAGAGUACGGGUAGAGGGGGAUGGAAUUCCGCGUGUAGCAGUGAAAUGCGUAGAUAUGCGGAGGAACACCGAUGGCGAAGGCAAUCCCCUGGACCUG